UUAGGGAGGAAAGGUUUACCGCUUAGGGAUGAGCCCGCGUCCCAUUAGCUAGUUGGUGAGGUAACGGCCCACCAAGGCGACGAUGGGUAGCCGGCCUGAGAGGGUGUACGGCCACACUGGGACUGAGACACGGCCCAGACUCCUACGGGAGGCAGCAGUAGGGAAUUUUCGGCAAUGGRCGGAAGCCUGACCGAGCAACKCCGCGUGAGGGAAGAAGGUSUUCGGAUCGUAAACCUUYAUCAUMGGGGACGAUCAYGACGGUACCCGAGGAGGAAGCCCCGGCUAACUACGUGCCAGCAGCCGCGGUAAUACGUAGGGGGCGAGCGUUGUCCGGAAUUACUGGGCGUAAAGGGCGCGUAGGCGGUCUAAUAAGUCAGAUGUGAAAUUCUUGGGCUUAACUCAGGAUGUGCAUUUGAAACUGUUGGACUUGAGGGCAGGAGAGGAAAGCGGAAUUCCCAGUGUAGCGGUGAAAUGCGUAGAUAUUGGGAGGAACACCAGUGGCGAAGGCGGCUUUCUGGACUGAACCUGACGCUGAGGCGCGAAAGCCAGGGGAGCGAACGGGAUUAGAUACCCUGGUAGUCC
rnacentral:rRNA from 1 species